rnacentral:rRNA from 1 species
CGAGAAAUCGGAGCUAAUACCGGAUGUGAUCUGACAGGGACAUCCCUGUUUCUUUAAAGCUAGGGACCUUCGGGCCUGGCGCUUUACGAUGAGCCCGCGUCCUAUCAGCUUGUUGGUGAGGUAACGGCUCACCAAGGCAAAGACGGGUAGCCGGUCUGAGAGGAUGAUCGGCCACACUGGAACUGAGACACGGUCCAGACACCUACGGGUGGCAGCAGUCGAGAAUCAUUCACAAUGGGGGAAACCCUGAUGGUGCGACGCCGCGUGGGGGAUGAAGGUCUUCGGAUUGUAAACCCCUGUCAUUAGUGAACAAACCUUUCGGGUUAAUAGCCCGAAAGCUGAUAGUAGCUAAAGAGGAAGGGACGGCUAACUCCGUGCCAGCAGCCGCGGUAAUACGGAGGUCCCAAGCGUUGUUCGGAUUUACUGGGCGUAAAGGGUGCGUAGGUGGCCAGGAAAGUCUGAUGUGAAAGCCCCGAGCUCAACUCGGGAAAUGCAUUGGAUACUACUUGGCUUGAGGAUCGGAGGGGAGACUGGAAUUCUCGGUGUAGCAGUGAAAUGCGUAGAUAUCGAGAGGAACACCAGUGGCGAAGGCGAG